rnacentral:lncRNA from 1 species
GAAUUUUUUCGUAUAAAAAGUCCAACAAGACGUUAGCUUCCAACUGCGGUCCUUAAGGAGACCCUUCCCCAGCAGGUGCAGCCUGGUCCAGAGUCGUUUUCACUUUCGUCCUCUUAAAAGUGUUUAAUCUUGGAAAGUCAGGUUUGCUUACAAGUUCGUUAUUCUUCAUAAAGUGUGUCUAGUAAAAUGCUAAUGUAUCAUCUUAGUAAAAUAUUUGGCUUGUCCUUGGCUGAAGAAGAACUUGAAAUGAGAAAACCUGUCAUGCCCCUCUCCUCCCUCCUGUAGCCCUGCCUGAACCAAAUCCAGCAGCUUGGAGGGCAAAUUCCGAGGAGGCCCUGUCACGCACGGAAGUUCCCACUCCUGUCCUGGGGCUGCAUGGGCUGCGCCGGUUGAUUUAUUGAAAGGAUUGUAGUUUGAACAAGGUUCUUCAGAAACCCAGCGAUGGAGGCCUUUGGGGCCUUGCUUUGUUAAGAAUGUCUUUUUAUUCACGUUGAGCUGUAUGAAGAACUGAAUUAUCUCAUUUUUAGUUUUUAUUGUAUUUAUUUAUUUUUCAUUUUUUGAAGGCCACACCCACAGCAUAUGGAAGUUCCCCAGCUAGAAGUCAAACCAGAGCUAUAGCUGCCAGUCUACACCACAGCCACAGCAAUGCGGAUCUGAGCCAUGUCUGCAACCUGCACCAUAGCUCACGGCAACGCCGGAUCCUUAACCCACUGAGGGAGGCCAGGGAUCAAACCCACAUCCUCAUGGUUCCUGGUCGGAUUCGUUUCCACUGCCCCACGAUGGGAACUCCCUAUACUCUCUUGUUUUAAAUCUGCCUUAGGGUUCAUUCAUUUUCAUGGCCAGAUUCACCAGGCCAUCCUCCCGCUGAAUUCACUGGAAUUUUUUUCUUUCUAAAUGUACGGCCCGUUGAAGGAAACAAUCCAUGUGCCAGGAGUUCCAGGGCUGGAGGAGAGACCCUGCACGGACAGCCCUGGGCCCGGCGGACAGGGCCCAAUGCCUGUGGGGACAGGGGACGGCUGCUCGGCCGGUGGUCCCAACCCGGCCGCUCCCCGGGCUCUGAUGCCGCGUGAGGACGGCCUGGUGGGACCCACUUGUCUGUCUUGUAUCUGGGGUGGUGGGUUUUCCUCGCCUUCUCACAGCUCAUCGUUCCAGGGAGUGUGUGGUGCUUGACAGGGAAAGAUUAUUCUGUCGUUUAAACCACUUUUUGUCAAGUAGCUCUUUUACAGAACAUGUCCCAAGCCCCUUAGCCCUGGUCUCCGCGCCCCUUGUCUCGCCAGGAUGGGCGGGGAGCCCCAUGGAGGGAGGGCCUUGCUUGCUGUUCUGGAGAGGUUUUAGCCUCCAGUGAGUCUCAAAAGGCAGGCCCUGCAUCACUGGGGGGACCACAGCUCUCAGUGGAGCCUGCAGCGUGGUGGGGUCCAGUGCGGUUGCUGUGAGCCUUGCCAGACCGGUGGCCAUCACGGGCCCUGCAGGAGGGCCACACACCCGCUGAGACCAGAGCAAACGGGCAGCCUCCUCCCGCCGAGCUGCCACCAUGCUGGCCACUACCCCCAGGACCCUACCCUGCGGUGAGGUCCGCUCUCAGACCCUCAGCUUUCCUCUGGGGCUCCUUUCGGGAUUCAGUUCAGGUGGGGCCUGCCGUGAAGCCUGUUUUACAGGCAGGUGGAUGGUCCCUGGGGCGCCCCCAUCUCUCCCAGGCUUCCAGAAGCACUGGGUGCCAUCUGCAUCUGCAUGAGCUUUUCUGCCUAUGCCUGGCGUCAGUCAGCACCUGGAGAAGCGUCAGGACCUUAGCAUAGCUGCCUGGCCCCAGUAACUGAAUAGGUUCUUAGGAUGUGAUGAGAAUUAGUGCUGAGUGAGUGUAGCACGAGCUUAGGAACAGCCGAACACCUGAGGAGCUCCAGCCACGCUGAGGAGGGGCUCUGGUGCCACACGGGUGAGCAGACACCACGUCCAAUGGUUUGCUGGUGAAAAAGAAAAUGUAAAAAAGUGCAGAAAAAGUAAGAGUCAUAUCCAGCAGAAUCUGGCACAACAGGCGGGCCUGGAAGCCCAAAGCCUCUGUCUCCGAGGUCUGGAGAUGACUGUCCCCUGACCAGAGGCUCUGGGACAGCCAGAGAGCACCUGCGAAAGGAGCUCUGCCCCCACCACCAGGCACCCAGCUCCCAGAGGCCCUGGCCACCACAGGCUGAAGCUCUCCGCCGUCUGGAGACUGGGGCAGCCAGGUAGCACUGACGGGGAGGCCCCCACACGCCUCUUCCCUCCUGCACACCUGACCCGCCCCUUCCCCAGUGAGAGACAAGGAUCAGCGCCACGGCACCAGCUGAGCAAGCCGCCCAGUAGCACUGCAAAGGCUCUCUUGCACCCACGUGGCCUUUUACCUGUUAAAAGCUUUAAAUGAAACUCAGUGUCCUGACAUAAUGGACAAAAUGUCAGGGCACAAAUGAAACCACUGACAGUACCAAGAGCCAGGAAGACUGCAACUUCAGUGAGGAAAAACAACGGACAUCAAUCAUGAGACGAAUUAGAUGUUGGAAUUAAAGCAUCCGUGCUAAAAAGGCUUAAAAACCUGAUUAUAAGUUGUCUUGACACAAAUGAAAUAAAAAUUGCAGCAAAGAUGAGGGGAUUACAGAACUAAAAAAUUCAGCAGUGGAAGAUGCUAAAACCUUGUGGAUGCCGUCAAUAGUAGACUGGAAAUGCCAAAGGAGAGAGUCGGGAAACCUGGAAAGAUGCAUCGAAUUUACUCAACCUGAACAGCAGAGAAGAAAAUGUAAAAGCCUGGGUUAGACAAAGUCUCGGGCGCUUACGGGGCAAUAACAACACCCAGCAUCCCUGUCAUCUCGCUCCCAAAAGGAGGAGAAAGAGAGUGGGGCUGAAAGAGUUUUUGGAGAAUAAGAUGGAAAGCUAUCUGGAUUUGGUGCAAGACAAAACCUUGAAAGAUUCCCAAGAAGGAGAAUGAAUUCCAAAUAGGACACAUACAAAGAAAUCCAUGCCAAGACACAUCAUAAAUCAAACUUUUGAGAAAAAAAAAAAUUGAAGGCCGUGAGAAACAGUGCAUCCAUCACCUAUGGGGACCCCAGUUUAAAUGACCAAGAGUUUCUCCUCAAAGCCACAGAGGCCGAAGGGAAGUGAUGUGGUUCUCCUCCAACACCGGGGAAAAUUGUCCGCCACAUAUUCUAUAUCCAGCCAAACUGUCCUUCAGGAUUAAAAGUGAAAUCAGCAUCUCAGAGGAAGUAAAACUAAAGGAAUUUCUUACGAGCAGACCUUGUAAAGACUAAGUUUUUCAAACAGAAAGGAAAUGAUAAAAAGGAAUUUUCUUAAAUCAUACAUGAUGAUAAAGUAAUAAGUUGUACCAUCUGAUACUCAAGACAAUGAUAUGGAAAGUAGAGGAGGUAAAGGGAACUCAAUGCAGAUAAGGCUUCCUAACUUCAUUUGAAGUGGCAAAAUAUUGACGUCAGUGACUUAAUGCUUCACAUGUCUACGGCAAUACUUGCAGCAUCGGCUAAGGAGAGAAACACGCUAAGAAAGGAAGAAAGAAAACAGUACGAAUAGGAGUGCUCUCUGCCCGGAUGGCAGAGACUUCUGAAAACUUUAGCCCCCGUAAAUGCACCCAGGUAACUGUCAAAGGGAGUUCCCUUGUGCUGCAGUGGGUUAAGGACCAGCGUUGUCACUGCAGCAGCUUGAGUCACUGCUAUGUUACGGGUUUGGGAACUUCCGCAUGCCUCAGACAUGGCCAAAAAAGGUCUCCCCCCACAUCCCCUGUAAAAAGGAAACCGGCAAAGGAUUUCUCUGGUAGCCAAGUGUUAGGAUUCAGCAUUUUCACCACUGUGGCCUGUGUUCAAUCCCUGGUCUGAGAACUGAGAUCCCACAUCAAACCAUGGCA